AAAUGAUGUAAUAGGUAAGAGUUCUGUUGUCACUUAGAAACUGUAACUGAAUUUUAAACAGAAGAGGUUUCCUUCAGAAAAGCUGUGCACAGCUGAGCUUAUAGCUUCUGAAAUGCUUCCAGCAUUUUACUAAAGUUUUUUCCAAGUGAGAUUAAAAGGGCAUCUUGAUUGAGUGGCUUCAUUUCUGUCUCACUGCAAACUCAUUUUAGGCUCCACAUUAAGGAGUCUAUGCAGUCAGUUGCUCAGUUGUUUCACCUACAUACUGUAACCCUGGGCUUCCAGUGUUCACUCUAGUGAAUUUUUGAAGCUCACUGUAAAAAUAUUCCCCUCAGAAGUUAGUAUGCGGCAACUGUGCAGUUUGUGCCUGCUGGCACCAGAUGGUGCUGUAUGAUCUGCUUGGUACCUCCUUGAAAGCUGAUAAGCGGAUUUACAAGCGUAUGUUAACUUCUUUUUUUCUCAUCCAUUAUCCCUGAGGUCUUUUCAUCCUACAUUGUCCCUGUGGCCUGCACACUGCACACUAGAUCUGAGUAAGAUUUACCCAAGUUUUGAGUUGAUAUUUGAAAUAGAUGGGAAAGAUUGUUGAACCUAUUUUGGUGAAAAUUUGUUUUCAUUUUGCAGUUGAUAAGUGAAGAGAGGUUUCUGGGGACAGAGGCUUCUAACCUCUCGUCAAAAAGAAAAUGAGGUCCCAGCAUUGUUAGAAGUUCACAGAGUAGAGGUCCUAAGCACAGCAAAAGUGGCCGUGAACGUGUGGGGAGUGAGGUCUGGAAACAACUGUCCGCUGUUCCUCCGCAACACCUCAGAGCUGAAGGGAAUGACACCUCCUACAUAACAAGGCGGCAAACACAAAACUGAACCUGAAACUGAAGCAUACGUGCUCAGUUGUGUCACCCCAAGUAUGCAUGCUGCAUUAUCUGCAUAUACUGACUCACGAAAGAUGGAGUCCCACCUUUAUGUUUUUCUGGCUGUUGUCUGUUUGUACCACACCUUCUGCAUUACUUAACCUCCUUUUAUUUCCAUGUUAAAUUUAGCAAUAAUGACUAACCUACCUGGCAAGUGUGCAUACAUAGACUAAGAACCUCUUUAGCACAGGGAGAAAUUUGUGUCAGCUGUCAGCUUCUGUCUUGUAAAAGGUUUUUUUAUAGGUUUAAAAACAGAGGAGGAAAAAAGAAAAGAGCAAAACAAUUUUUUUCUCUGUGUACCAAGUGUUAAUUGCUGAUGGGAAUGCUUUUUAAUAAAUCAUUUGACUUCUUA